GUGUUUUUAGUCCAAUGGUUAGGAUAAUUUCCUUCCAAAAAAUAGACCCAGGUUUGACUCCCGACAAACGCA
rfam:Picea glauca, whole genome shotgun sequence.